AACGCUGGCGGCAGGCCUAACACAUGCAAGUCGAACGGUAACAGGAAGCAGCUUGCUGUUUCGCUGACGAGUGGCGGACGGGUGAGUAAUGUCUGGGAAACUGCCUGAUGGAGGGGGAUAACUACUGGAAACGGUAGCUAAUACCGCAUAACGUCGCAAGACCAAAGAGGGGGACCUUCGGGCCUCUUGCCAUCGGAUGUGCCCAGAUGGGAUUAGCUAGUAGGUGGGGUAACGGCUCACCUAGGCGACGAUCCCUAGCUGGUCUGAGAGGAUGACCAGCCACACUGGAACUGAGACACGGUCCAGACUCCUACGGGAGGCAGCAGUGGGGAAUAUUGCACAAUGGGCGCAAGCCUGAUGCAGCCAUGCCGCGUGUAUGAAGAAGGCCUUCGGGUUGUAAAGUACUUUCAGCGGGGAGGAA
rnacentral:rRNA from 1 species